GAUGAAGAACGCAGCAAAAUGCGAUAAGUAAUGUGAAUUGCAGAAUUCAGUGAAUCAUCGAAUCUUUGAGCGCACAUUGCGCCCGCCAGUAUUCUGGCGGGCAUGCCUGUUCGAGCGUCAUUUCAACCCUCAAGCACAGCUUGGUGUUGGGACUCGCGUUAAUUCGCGUUCCCCAAAUUGAUUGGCGGUCACGUCGAGCUUCCAUAGCGUAGUAGUAAAACCCUCGUUACUGGUAAUCGUCGCGGCCACGCCGUUAAACCCCAACUUCUGAAUGUUGACCUCGGAUCAGGUAGGAAUACCCGCUGAACUUAAGCAUAUCAAAAGCGGAGGA
rnacentral:misc_RNA from 1 species